CUUCCGGUUGAUCCUGCCGGACCUGACUGCUAUCGGAUUGAUACUAAGCCAUGCGAGUCUUUGUAGUAAUACAAGGCAGACGGCUCAGUAACACGUAGUCAACCUACCCUAUGGACGAGAAUAAUCUCGGGAAACUGAGCAUAAUUCUCGAUAGAUCAUAAUGCCUGGAAUGGUUUAUGGUUAAAAUGAUUCGUCGCCAUAGGAUGGGACUGCGGCCUAUCAGCUUGUUGGUGAGGUAAUGGCCCACCAAGGCGAUUACAGGUACGGGCUCUGAGAGGAGAAGCCCGGAGAUGGGUACUGAGACACGGACCCAGGCCCUAUGGGGCGCAGCAGGCGAGAAAACUUUGCAAUGUGCGAAAGCACGACAAGGUUAAUCCGAGUGAUUUCUGCUAAAGAAAUCUUUUGCCAGUCAUAAAACCACUGGUGAAUAAGGGGUGGGCAAGUUCUGGUGUCAGCCGCCGCGGUAAAACCAGCACCUCAAGUGGUCAGGAUGAUUAUUGGGCCCAAAGCAUCCGUAGCCGGCUUUGUUAGUUUUCGGUUAAAUCCAUGUGCUCAACGCAUGGGCUGCCGAAAAUACUGCAUAGCUAGGGAGUGGGAGAGGUAGACGGUACUCAGUAGGAAGGGGUAAAAUCCUUUGAUCUAUUGAUGACCACCUGUGGCGAAGGCGGUCUACCAGAACACGUUCGACGGUGAGGGAUGAAAGCUGGGGGAGCAAACCGGAUUAGAUACCCGGGUAGUCCCAGCUGUAAACGAUGCAGACUCGAUGAUGCAUUGGCAUAAUAGCCAAUGCAGUGUCGCAGGGAAGCCGUUAAGUCUGCCGCCUGGGAAGUACGUACGCAAGUAUGAAACUU
rnacentral:rRNA from 1 species